rnacentral:rRNA from 1 species
AUUGAACGCUGGCGGCAGGCCUAACACAUGCAAGUCGAGCGGAUGACGGGAGCUUGCUCCUUGAUUCAGCGGCGGACGGGUGAGUAAUGCCUAGGAAUCUGCCUGGUAGUGGGGGACAACGUUUCGAAAGGAACGCUAAUACCGCAUACGUCCUACGGGAGAAAGCAGGGGACCUUCGGGCCUUGCGCUAUCAGAUGAGCCUAGGUCGGAUUAGCUAGUAGGUGAGGUAAUGGCUCACCUAGGCGACGAUCCGUAACUGGUCUGAGAGGAUGAUCAGUCACACUGAAACUGAGACACGGUCCAGAAUCCUACGGGAGGCAGCAGUUGAGAAUAUUGGACAAUGGGCGAAAGCCUGAUCCAGCCAUGUCGCGUGUGUGAAGAAGGUCUUCGGAUUGUAAAGCACUUUAAGUUGGGAGGAAGGGCAGUAAGCGAAUACCUUGCUGUUUUGACGUUACCGACAGAAUAAGCACCGGCUAACUCUGUGCCAGCCGCCGCAGUAACAC